CAGGCUUGAAUGUACUGGAUCCUUUUCGCCUCUGACUGAUUGAAAGGGAAGCUGACACCAUUUGGAGGCUCUAGGCUGUGGGGGAUGCAUUGUGGUCUUGCUCCUUGCAAUUCAUCCUUGACUGCUGUGCGCUCCUCUCCUCCUCCACUCAAUCUACAAUCAACACACCUGACGCUGAUGAAAGCUCCCCUGCUUUCUUAAGCCAGCGUGUCCUGCAUUCCAGUGCCAGAGCGUAGCUACUUGUAUACGUACACUUUGCGUCAUUCCCUGGUUUCGAGCUGUGUGUCUCGUCUCCCCGGAUCCCCUUUGGAUUCCCUCCUGCCUUCCCGGAUCUCGACCUUUCGCCUGCCUCCGGACAACGACGCUUCGCAUAAGCCCCUGAUCACUGGCCUGUACCCGGACCUCCGAGCCUGCCUUGCCCUUUCUGGACUUCCGCGUCUGUCUCAACACACACCUCCAACACCUCCCGGUAACACUCAACAGAUAAUCACUUCACGUAGUCUCACCACACGUCUUUGGA